rnacentral:RNase_P_RNA from 1 species
UGGAGUGGGCGAGGCGGUUGCCCCUGCUUCUCCUAGCGAGAAGAAAGGGGAGGAAAGUCCGAACUCCACAGGGCAGGAUGGUCGCUAACCGCGACUCCGGGCGACCGGAGGAAAGUGCCACAGAAAAGACACCGCCGAAGGGGAGGGGCAACCCUCUCCUGGCAAGGGUGAAAAGGCGAGGUAAGAGCUCACCGCCCCGAUGGCGACACCGGGGGCAGGGUAAACCCCAUCCGGAGCAAGACCAAACGAGCCCCGCAGUGGGAUGGCCCGUUCCGAGGGGUGGGUAGGUCGCUGGACCUCCGGAGCAAUCCGGAGGGGAGACAAAUAACCGCCGCCCGCCGCGAGGCGGGAGACAGAAUUCGGCUUACGGCCCGCUCCAACCG